AUCCAGCCGACGAGUCCCAAAUAGAACGAAACGUGUGUCCUGGAU
rfam:Schistosoma rodhaini strain Burundi genome assembly, scaffold: SROB_scaffold0001498